rnacentral:rRNA from 1 species
CAGUCGCCACGGUAAUACGAAGGGGGCCAGCGUUGCUCGGAAUGACUGGGCGUAAAGGGCGCGUAGGCGGUUUUGACAGUCAGAUGUGAAAUUCCUGGGCUUAACCUGGGGGCUGCACCCGAUACGUGCAGGCUUGAGUGCGGAAGAGGGUCGUGGAAUUCCCAGUGUAGAGGUGAAAUUCGUAGAUAUUGGGAAGAACACCGGUGGCGAAGGCAGGUCUCUGGGCAUUAACUGACGCUGAGGAGCGAAAGCAUGGGGAGCGAACAGGAUUAGAUACCCCUGUAGUCCCUGUCUCUUAUAC